rnacentral:lncRNA from 1 species
UGAUUAUCUCCCUUUGUUCCGGAAUGCUGGUGACGUCAUUCGUGUCCUCUCAUUAUGUAAACAAACAAGCAUGGCCGCGAAUAUGUGAACGACAAUACAACGAUACAACUAUGGACUAUCGAUUCACAGACGAUGAACGUGAACAGAUAGACAUUCCCAAGGUUAAACAAACUAUGUCAGUACAAUCAUACAAGUAUGAACCUGUAAGUCAGAGCCAGAGGAUUGUAGGUGCCGAAUCGGUAACUGGAUAAAGAAGCCAACAUUUUCUACAUCCGAUGGUGAAGAUGGAAACGAAAUAGAUCUUUAACAGCCUGCCGGCUUCAAAAUCUCUCAUGGUGCGUAAAUAAGAUAGUAAAAUAAUGUAUUUAGGCAUAAUUUUUGUGAGUCCAAGAUUACUCUGACACCCAACGGCUGUUUUGUAGGACAAGCUUGGGCCCUCGGCACGACCCCAGUUUGUCUGGCAAAACAGCCGUUGGACGUCAGAGUCAUCUCGGACAAAAUUUUUGUAAUCAUAUAAUAAUGAUAUAAGUAGGUUGGUAUACACAGUACAUGUAUAUUGCGACCUUUAGCUGUUGAGGGAGGGGUUGGCAGGAAACAUGAAAAAUUGAGGGGGAGUAGGGAGAUGGAAUUGGAUGGGUUAGGGAAGAGGAAAAUUAUCAAAGACUCCUGCCCACCCCUCUUUAGUUGAAGUUUAGAUAAAAAGGAAAAAAGGGGGUGAGAUUUUGUUUGAUUUGAUUGAAAAAGAAGGCCUGAAAUGGAAAUGUCUUCAAAUGAUACUAUCAAUUCUUCCCUCUCUGUAUGAUAUACAUCAUUACAUGUACAAUGUAUGUAUUACAAUAUAGUGGGUAAUAUAAACAAAAGCAAUUGUGUGUGGUAAUGUACAGUGAAUCUACAUGUGUGCACUAUAUAUUAUAUAUAUGUAGACAAUUUUUGUCAUGAAUUAAUGAACAUGUCUGAAUAAAUUAUAUUCAUAGUCACUAGUCAGUCCUAAUUUUGUACAAAUUUUGCAAAUUUACAGUACUUUAAUACAUGAGUUGGUGAAAUAUCUUCAUACAUGUACAUUUGUGUAUGUCUCUGGUGUGAUGUACUUGUAUAUAUAUCAAAACAUGGGGAGGGUGGGUGCAUGUUUGAUCAUGUUGAUUCGUUUAAAUAAAUGUUUAAGUUGUGAAUGGAAUAAAUUAAGAAAAUAUAUUUCUCUCUUUUUUUAAAUUCAAUACAUGAUGAUUGAUCAACAUGGCAAACUUGCUACAGUAAGAGACUGCUGCAUUUAUGCUUAUUAAUUUGCUUGAACAGAGCGAUUCUCUCUAUAAACUCCAUCUCAUCAAUAUCAAAGUAUUUAGACAAUUUAGAUAUACUUAUAUCCCUUUUGAUUGAUUGAUUUUGUCCAACCCAAACCAUACCUUCUUGUGCCUGUUGUAUUAUGAAUACAUGGGUGAAUACCUUCAAGAAAAUAAUCCAUUUGAUCCAAAUCAUAUGAUUCAUGAGUAAGUAUACUGUCACAUUGCUUAAUUAUGCCAGUAGCAAGUAACCCCUCAUUAUACACUAACUUGUACUACUACUUAAAUGACUAUAUUCUUUUUUAUUUUGCCAACACAAACCUGUCAAUUACCCUGUAUGGAAUCUAGUUUUCUGGAAAGUUCACAUUUCUUUGUCUCCUAAUGACAAACUGUUGCAUGUAUUGUUAAUAUUUAAAGACAAGAAGUUAAUUAAUUUUCUGUGAUUAGGUUUAAUUUUUAACAUACAAAUUCAAUUACAAACAAUGAAUAUCACUUGCAUUUAUUUGUGACUGGCACAGAGACUGAUGCAUACAAAGCAAUUCAUGUUCAGUUUUCAUAGAUUUCUGUACCAGCAGCUAUUUCAGAAGCACCAGUAAAUGUAAAUUUUGUAUAUAAUGUCUGUGCCAUUUGGCCUCUUGUGUAUUGUUGUCUCAUUGACACCCAUUUCACUACUUCCCUACUCGAGCUAUAAUAAGAUUACAGUUGAUAAUUAAAGUAAGAUUUUGUACUUGAUUUUUAAAUCCUUAUCAAGUUUCAAAAGAGUAAAUAAACAACCAUAUGAUUUUAACUACUAAAUAUGUAUGAAUAAAGAAGAUGUGGGAUAUACAUAUAUUGGACAGCAACCAAACAAGAAUAACUAAGACACCUUGUAAAAUUUCAUUUUUAAAAUAAGUUCUCACUGAAUACUUUUUUGUUUUCAGAAAUAAUAGAUAUUUGUCACAAAGAAGAUUUACCAUGUACUAGGAGAAACAUAAGAGUUGUGUUGCCAUCAGGUGUUGUUUGCAAAAAAAGGGAACAGUUCCCAGCUGAACAAUUUACAAACUUUAAAUAGCCUUAAUGACCACACAAAGAGUCAAAUUAUAUUAACUAUAUUGAUAAUAAAAUUUUAUCACAUUUAUUCAUUGUUUAAUUUAUUUAUAAGUGGUCUCCUUUUCUUGUCUGUUUGCCUGGUCUGCUAGCAGAGGUGGCUCAGCCAGUCUUUUAUCAACUGUUGCUACAAAUGUAUAUCUAAGCCACUUUUGUAUGAAGGAUACUUCC